rnacentral:rRNA from 1 species
UACGAAGGGGGCUAGCGUUGUUCGGAAUUACUGGGCGUAAAGCGCGCGCAGGCGGUUUUCCAAGUCAGUGGUGAAAGCCCGGAGCUCAACUCCGGAACUGCCAUUGAAACUGGCGAACUUGAGUACGAGAGAGGUGAGUGGAAUUCCCAGUGUAGAGGUGAAAUUCGUAGAUAUUGGGAAGAACACCGGUGGCGAAGGCGGCUCACUGGCGCGUAACUGACGCUCAGGCGCGACAGCGUGGGGAUCAAACAGG